AUUGAACGCUGGCGACAGGCCUAACACAUGCAAGUCGAACGGUAGCACAGAGGAGCCUGCUCCUUGGGUGACGAGUGGCGGACGGGUGAGUAAUGUCUGGGAAACUGCCCGAUGGAGGGGGAUAACUACUGGAAACGGUAGCUAAUACCGCAUAACGUCGCAAGACCAAAGAGGGGGACCUUCGGGCCUCUUGCCAUCGGAUGUGCCCAGAUGGGAUUAGCUAGUAGGUGGGUAACGGCUCACCUAGGCGACGAUCCCUAGCUGGUCUGAGAGGAUGACCAGCCACACUGGAACUGAGACACGGUCCAGACUCCUAUGGGAGGCAGCAGUGGGGAAUAUUGCACAAUGGGCGCAAGCCUGAUGCAGCCAUGCCGCGUGUAUGAAGAAGGCCUUCGGGUUGUAAAGUACUUUCAGCGGGGAGGAAGGGGUUAAGGUUAAUAACCUUAGCCAUUGACGUUACCCGCAGAAGAAGCACCGGCUAACUCCGUGCCAGCAGCCGCGGUAA
rnacentral:rRNA from 1 species